rnacentral:rRNA from 1 species
AGUCGAGCGAACAGACGAGGAGCUUGCUCCUCUGACGUUAGCGGCGGACGGGUGAGUAACACGUGGAUAACCUACCUAUAAGACUGGGAUAACUUCGGGAAACCGGAGCUAAUACCGGAUAAUAUAUUGAACCGCAUGGUUCAAUAGUGAAAGACGGUUUUGCUGUCACUUAUAGAUGGAUCCGCGCCGCAUUAGCUAGUUGGUAAGGUAACGGCUUACCAAGGCAACGAUGCGUAGCCGACCUGAGAGGGUGAUCGGCCACACUGGAACUGAGACACGGUCCAGACUCCUACGGGAGGCAGCAGUAGGGAAUCUUCCGCAAUGGGCGAAAGCUUGACGGAGCAACGCCGCGUGAGUGAUGAAGGUCUUCGGAUCGUAAAACUCUGUUAUUAGGGAAGAACAAAUGUGUAAGUAACUAUGCACGUCUUGACGGUACCUAAUCAGAAAGCCACGGCUAACUACGUGCCAGCAGCCGCGGUAAUACGUAGGUGGCAAACGUUAUCCGGAAUUAUUGGGCGUAAAGCGCGCGUAGGCGGUUUUUUAAGUCUGAUGUGAAAGCCCACGGCUCAACCGUGGAGGGUCAUUGGAAACUGGAAAACUUGAGUGCAGAAGAGGAAAGUGGAAUUCCAUGUGUAGCGGUGAAAUGCGCAGAGAUAUGGAGGAACACCAGUGGCGAAGGCGACUUUCUGGUCUGUAACUGACGCUGAUGUGCGAAAGCGUGGGGAUCAAACAGGAUUA